UAGGGAAUCUUCGGCAAUGGGGGGAACCCUGACCGAGCAACGCCGCGUGAGUGAAGAAGGUUUUCGGAUCGUAAAGCUCUGUUGUUAAGGAAGAACGAGUGUGAGAAUGGAAAGUUCGUGCUGUGACGGUAAUUAACCAGAAAGGGACGGCUAACUACGUGCCAGCAGCCGCGGUAAUACGUAGGUCCCGAGCGUUGUCCGGAUUUAUUGGGCGUAAAGCGAGCGCAGGCGGUUAGAAAAGUCUGAAGUGAAAGGCAGUGGCUCAACCAUUGUAGGCUUUGGAAACUGUUUAACUUGAGUGCAGAAGGGGAGAGUGGAAUUCCAUGUGUAGCGGUGAAAUGCGUAGAUAUAUGGAGGAACACCGGUGGCGAAAGCGGCUCUCUGGUCUGUAACUGACGCUGAGGCUCGAAAGCGUGGGGAGCGAACAGG
rnacentral:rRNA from 1 species